rnacentral:rRNA from 1 species
UGGGGAAUCUUGCACAAUGGGGGAAACCCUGAUGCAGCGACGCCGCGUGAACGAUGAAGCCCUUCGGGGUGUAAAGUUCUUUCGACAGGAACGAUAAUGACGGUACCUGGAGAAGAAGCUGCGGCUAACUACGUGCCAGCAGCCGCGGUAAUACGUAGGCAGCGAGCGUUGUUCGGAGUUACUGGGCGUAAAGAGUGCGUAGGCGGCGAGCCAAGUUUGGUGUGAAAUCUCCCGGCUUAGCCGGGAGGGUGCGCCGAAAACUGGUUGGCUGGAUUAUGGGAGAGGAAAGCGGAAUUCCUGGUGUAGCGGUGAAAUGCGUAGAUAUCAGGAGGAACACCUGCGGUGUAGACAGCUUUCUGGACCAAAACUGACGCUGAGGCACGAAAGCGUGGGUAGCAAACA